CUCAUGCUUAAAUAGGUCCUACACAAAACUUUCUCUCACUAAAAAUCCCUCAUUUUUAUCAUUUGUUUCUCUCACUAAAAAAGUUGGUUUAGUUUUCGCCGUCACCACUGAACAGAUGCAUUUUCAUCUUCAUCUUCAUCAUCCAUAAUAUAUACCAGCAAGCUCUAUCUUCUGAGAAAUGCCCAAUUUAGCUCAUACUAAUUUCUUGUUCAAUACGAAAAUCUGAAAAAAAAAAGUUCCGGUGAUGCUCGGAGUAUUGUGUGCACGUCCUAAGCCUUGGCUAUUCGCAUCACUCUGCUUAUCACACGCCCACGGCUCAACGCCUUCGGGUUAUAGCAGACUUAUUGCGACGAAUACUGCUAACAAAUCAUCGUUAUUGUUAAUAUCUGGAGGUGGAAGUGGAGGAGGAGGUGGAACGGGAGUAGAUCAGAGGCGGAAUCAUUCGAUUCAUUGCCGUAUUGCAUCAUCUGUAAAUCGAGGUGGUGGUGCAGCGUCGAUAUGGCAUGCGAUUCUUCCUGCUGGGAGGAGGAAUAAGAAGGAUAUAAAUCGGAGGAAUAAUACGGUGUUUAAACAUCAUUAUGAGCUUGCUAAGAAAGGGGAAGGGUCGUGGAAUGUGAAUUGGGAUUCUAGGCCGGCGAGAUGGUUACAUAAUCCUGAUUCUGCUUGGUUGUUGUUUGGGGUUUGUUCGUGUUUAGCAGCGCCAUCUCUUGAUCUAUUACCAGAUGCUAAUUUUGAUGUAGCUGUACCGAUUGAUAAACAGUCUGUUGUAAAUUCUUCAGAUGAGGAUGAUCAAAACUCUGCCAACUAUAGAGUCACUGGGGUUCCAGCGGAUGGAAGAUGUCUAUUUAGAGCGAUAGCACAUAUGGCUUGUUUGAGAAAUGGGGAGGAAGCUCCGGAUGAAAAUCGACAGAGAGAACUUGCUGAUGAAUUAAGAGCUCAGGUGGUUGAUGAGCUGUUAAAGAGGCGAAAAGAAGCUGAAUGGUUUAUUGAAGGGGAUUUUGAUGCAUACGUAGAAAGAAUUGAAAAGCCAUAUGUGUGGGGAGGAGAACCAGAGCUACUAAUGGCUUCUCAUGUUCUCAAGUCCUCAAUUUCUGUCUAUAUGGUAGAUAGAAGCUCUGGAAGUUUAAUAAACAUAUCAAAUUAUGGAGAAGAAUAUAGGAAGGAGGGAGAGAGUCCGAUUAACGUAUUGUUUCAUGGUUAUGGUCACUAUGACAUUUUGGAGACAAUUCCAGAGAAGAUUCACCAAAAGUUAGAAGAAUAAAAGUAGGGUAUGAUGCCCUUAGAGACGUAGUCUUGAUUUUAAAUUUUCAUAAAAGGUAGUUCGCAACGACGAUCAAAUUGAUAAGAAGUUCAGCUAUCCAGUUAACAAAACAUCUUCUUUCAGCAACGGAAAUGUGACACUGAACUCUCUAAAUGUUGUUACUGAAUCUGUGGUUGUCAAGUUAUCACUGGAAUGGAUUAUGGAUAUGUUUGUGCAGUCUGGAUCUGCUUACAUUAGAUUUGGGACUUUGUUCUGGAGGGAGCUGUUGGCUAGUUAAGCUUCUCUCUCGAACACACUUCUCCCGGAUAGUUCCAUUGUCUUUAGUCUAUAGCCUUUGUGAGCUUCCUUUAUCCAGUAGCAGAGUUAGGUGGACGCGAGGAGUUCAACUGAAUCCCCUUCAUCAGAAGAUAAUACUGUCUAGGAAAAAAUAUGAAUUUUCUUGCUUAUAUAUAAAUUGUUGAAUCCCUUUGACAUAAGGGAGGAUUCUUGUGUACUGAUAGUGGUUGUUCUAGUUUACAAUUUUAAAUCUUACUCGUGACGUUUUACA